rnacentral:lncRNA from 1 species
AGCAACAUGGCUGUUUAUUUCACCUGGGUGCAGGCAGGCUGAGUCCGAAAAGACAGUCAGCGAAGGGAGAUAGGGGUGGGGCCAUUUUAUAGGAUUUGGGAAGGUAAUGGAAAAUUACAGUCAAAGGGGGUUGUUCUCUGGUGGGCAGGGGUGGAUCUCACAAAGUACAUUCUCAAGGGUGGGGAGAAUUACAAAGAACCUUCUUAAGGGUGGGGGAGACUACAAAGUACCUUAAGGGUGGGGGAUAUUACAAAGUACAUUGAUCAGUUAGGGUGGGGCAGGAACAAAUCACAAUGGUGGAAUGUCAUCAGUUAAGGCUGUUUUUACUUCUUUUAUGGAUCUUCAGUUACUUCAGGCCAUCUGGAUGUAUACGUGCAAGUCACAGGGGAUGCGAUGGCCUGGCCUGGGCUCAGAGGCCUGACAUUCCUGCCUUCUUAUAUUAAUAAGACAAAUAAAACAAAAUAGUGUUGAAGUGUUGGAGCGGCGAAAAUUUUUGGGGGGUGGUAUGGAGAGAGAAUGGGCGAUGUUUCUCAGGGCUGCUUCAAGUGGGAUUGGGGCGGCGUGGGAACAUAAAGUGGGAGAGAUUAAGCUGAAGGGAAGUCUUGUGGUAAGGGAUGAUAUUGUGGGGAUGUUAGAAGAAACAUUUGUCAUAUAGAAUGAUUGGUGAUGGCCUGGAUACAGUUUUGGAUGAACUGAGAAGCUAAAUGGAAGAUACAAGGUCUGAAUAAAAGGAGGAGAAAAAUGGGUAUUAAAGGACUAAGAAUUGGGAGGACCCAGGACAUCCAAUUAGAGAGUGCCCAAGGGGGUUCAGCGUAAUUACUUGCUUGGUUGGCAAGUUUUUGGGCUCUAUCCUUGAGUUUUUUUAUGUUGUCAUACACCAGGCCAGACUGAUUUAGGUAAAAACAACACUCCUCAUUUAAGAAUAUGCAGAGUCCUCCUUUUUCAGCAGUAAGUAAGUCAAGGCCUCGGCGGUUUUGGAGGACAACUGCAGCUAAAGAGUCAACUUGGGCCUGGAGGACUGAUAAAGUUUGUGAUUUUGAGGGCCUCUAAAAGUAUUAAAGCAGCAGCAGCUGCUGCACGCAGACAUGAGGGCUAGGCUAAAACAGUAAGGUCAAGUUGUUUGGACAGAAAGGCUACAGGGUGUGGUCCUGGCUCUUGUGUAAGAAUUCCGACCACGCUAACCAUGCCUAGGAAGGAAAAGAGUUGUUGUUUUGUAGAAGGUGCUGGGGUUUGAGAGAUCAGUCGGACACGAUUGGCAGGGAAAGCACGUGUGCUUUUACGAGAAUUACGCCGAGAUAGGUAACAGAUGAGGAAGAAAUCUGGGCUUGACUGAAGUAAUGGGGGCUGUCUGUGAAGCUUUGCAGCAGUACAGCCCAGGUAAUUUGCUGAGCCUAAUGGGGUGUCAGGGUCAGUCUAAGUGAAAGCAAAGAGAGGCUGGGACGAGGGGUGCAGGGGAAUAGUGAAAAAAGCAUCUUUAAGAUGGAGAACAGAAUAGUGAGUUGUGGAGGAACGUAUUGAGGACAAAAGAGUGUACGGGUUGGGCACCACAGGGUGGAUAGGCAAAACAAUUUGGUUGAUAAGACGCAGAUCCUGAACUAAUCUGUAAGACUUAUCCGGUUUUUGGACAGGUAAAAUGGGGGAAUUGUAAGAGUUUAUAGGUUUUAGAAGCCCAUGCUGUAGCAGGCGAGUGAUAACAGGCUUUAAUCCUUUUAAAGCAUGCUGUGGGAUGGGAUAUUGGCGUUGAGCGGGGUAAGGGUGAUGGAAGGAGUAGAGAUGUCCCAUACUUGUGGGUUAAGGUGGGGGGAUAUAAGAGGAAGACGCGAAGGAGGCUUUGAGUUGGGGAGAAGGUCGGCAAUGAGAUGCGGCUGUAGUCCAGGAAUAGUCAGGGAAGCAGAUAAUUUGGUUAAAAUAUCUCGGCCUAAUAAGGGAACUGGGCAGGUGGGAAUAACUAAAAAAGAGUGCAUAAAGGAGUGUUGUCCAAGUUGGCACCAGAGUGGGGGAGUUUUAAGAGGUUUAGAAGCCUGGCUGUCAAUACCCACAGUUAUGGAGGCAAGGGAAACAGGCCCUUGAAAAGAAGGUAAUGUGGAGCGGGUAGCCUCCGUAUUGAUUAAGAAGGGGACGGGCUUACCUUCCACUGUGAGAGUUACCGGAAGCUCGGCGUCCGUGAUGGUCUACGGGGCUUCCGAGGCGAUCGGGCAGCAUCAGUCUUCAGCCGCUAAGCCGAGAAGGAGUCAGUCAGAGAGCCUUGGGCCAGAGUUCCAGGGACUCUGGGAGUGGCUGCCAGGUAACCAGAGAUGACCUUGUACUGUGAGAGGAUUUGACCCUGGCAUGUGAAAUGGCAGAUGAGAGCUAGAAAGAAUUUUGUUCUUAUAGCCCAAGGUGGAGUUCAAUGGCACGAUCUCAGCUCACUGCAACAUCCGCCUCCUGGGUUCAAGCGAUUCUCCUGCCUCAGCCUACUGAGUAGCUGGGACUACAGGCGCACGUCACCAUGCCCAGCUAAUUUUUGUAUUUUUAGUAGAGACGGGGCUUCACCAUGUUGACCAGGCUGGUCUUGAACUCCUGACCUCAGGCAAUCCGCUUGCCUCCUGACCUCAGGCAAUCCGCCUGCUUCAGCCUCCAAAAGUGCUGGGAUUACAGGUGUGGGCCACCACACCCAGCCCUCGUAUGUGCUUUUAAAGUCCUUGUGACAGUGAGUUACAAGGCUUUGACUCCUAGGUCUAAAAAGGACACCAAGUCCUGAGAAAUCCUAAACUCUGACAGCAAUUAAAGGCUCAUCUUCAGGCCUGCUGGAAGAUGCCAAUCAAAAUAAACUGCAUUUCCUGUGACACAGGGUCAGAAUUUAAAGCUAUUCAACUCCACAAGGCCCAGGGACUAUUGUGGAAGAG